CAUAGCCAAGUGGUUAAAGUGUUUGUCUAAGCUGGGUAAAAUGGAAGCGCUUGGUAUUUCUACACCUGUCUCUUUAAAUCUGGGCCUUGGGGCCAAGGUCAGCCCAGCUCUGGAGAUCAGGACGUGCGUGGAGUCCCUGACACACUAAGCCGCUGGGAAUGUGCAGCUCCAGAAUGGGUUUGCUGAGACAAAGAAGAGCUUUGCUGGAAGGAUCCGAGCAACCUAAAUUGACUGAUGCUGAAUAUCCCAGAGUUCCAGUGACUCAGGAGACACACACCAUCCAGUACACAGAUAGAUAAAUAUGUAACAAGGUGAAACAGACAAACCUAGUAAAGAGUAUAAUAUUAAUAAUGACUGAUAAAAGACAAAGUGACUGGCAAGGGACCUAAGCUCCUAACAUCCUAAUGAUUUAUCAUGUUGGCCUGCCCAGGAAAAGUUCUCAGGUGCUGGAUAAGUAAUUGUCAGGAAACUGAUUUGUCCUAAGAGUAUCCUCAAGUGGUGGAAUGG